UCCGUAGAUAUAGAGAGGAAUGCCAAGCGCGAAAGCAGGUUACUAGGACAUUACUGACGCUCAUGGACGAAAGCUAGGGUAGCAAACGGGAUUAGAGACCCCGGUAGUCCUAGCCGUAAACACUCCUUGCUAGUUGUUUCCCACGCAUGUGGGGAGUGACGUAAGCUAACGCGUUAAGCAAGGCGCCUGGGGAGUACGACCGCAAGGUUAAAACUCAAAGGAAUUGACGGGGGAGCGCACAACCGGUGGAGCAUGUGGUUUAAUUCGAUACAAAGCGAAAAACCUUACCCAGACUUGACAUCUACCUAUGUUCUCUGGAAACAGAUGAUCUUAGUGGUAUGACAGGUGAUGCAUGGCUGUCGUCAGCUCGUGUCGUGAGACGUCCUCUUAAGUGAGGUAACGAGCGCAACCCUUGUCCUGUGUUAUAUUUGUCACAGGAGACUGCCCUACUUAUAGUGGGGAGGAAGGAGAGGACGACGUCAAGUCAGCAUGUCCCUUACGUCUGGGGCUACACACAUCCUACAAUGGAAUGGACAACAGGCAGCGAAGCCGCAAGGCCAAGCCAAUCCUUAAACCAUUUCUCAGUUCGGAUUGAGGGCUGCAACCCGCCCUCAUGAAGUCGGAAUCGGUAGUAAUCGCAAAUCAGCAGGUUGCGGUGAAUACGUUCUUGCUCCUUGUACACACUGCCCGUCAAGCCAGCAAAGUUGGCAACGCCCGAAGCGGAUGACCUGAACUCGCAAGAGACAGGCUCUUCUACGGCGAGGUCAGCGAUGAGGACUAAGUCGUAACAAGGUAACC
rnacentral:rRNA from 1 species